UUCAAACCCGGUUGAACAUUCUGAAGAAAGAGAGAGAAGAACUUUUGGAGUGGAGACAGGAUGGAGAGAAGCAAAGCCAGGAAUAUCUGGGAAAGAUAGAAGCUGAGAGGCAGAAGAUUGUGUCUGAAUUUGAGCAACUGCGACUCUUUCUGGAGGCACAAGAGCGACUUCUGCUGGCCCGGCUGGAAGAGCUUGACAAGGAGACUGUGAAGAUGCUGGAUGAAAAUGUCACCAAACUGUCUGAGGAGAUUUCUCGUCUGAGUGACUUGAUCAGUGAGAUAGAAAAGAAGUGUCAGCAGCCAACAAGUGAAUUCCUGCAGGACAUCAAAAGCACCUGGAGCAGGUACGUAGCUCAUUCCCACGCCUCCUCACAAUGCUGGAAGGGGAUUGGAUGCCAGGGGUCAGAUUUUGAAGGGUAUUUAGACACCUGAGAUGUAGACAGGCGCUUAGUGGGAUUUUCCAAAGCAGCUAAGCAAGUUAGGCACCUCCCAUUGCAAUCAGAGCCAGAUGGGAGCCUAGCUUGGUUAGGUGCUUUUGAAAAUCCCCGUAGGCACCUUUAGGUGACUUGCCCAAGGUCACACAGGGAGUCUGUGGGAGAGCCAGGAGAGGAACUUAGGUUUCCAGAGUCCUACAGCAACCCCUUAACCACUGGAGCAUCCUUUCCCACGGAAUUAGGCCUUUCUGUCUGAGAGGGCAGCUUGUGAACCCCAUACUCUCUUUAGAUCCUCAGAUGGGAGUUAGGCACCUAAAUACUCCUUUGAGGAGGCCAGUUGACUCACCAGUGGGAGUUACAGAUUCACAACUAGUCCACUAGACGGCAGCCCUGUUUCCCUGAAAACAGACUUAGGGAACCCCGGAAUAGCUCACCUAUUGCCCCCUCCUGGGUUUACCAAGGGUUCCCUUAAAACAACCCACCUAC